AUUGAACGCUGGCGGCAGGCCUAACACAUGCAAGUCGAGCGGAUGAAGGGAGCUUGCUCCUGGAUUCAGCGGCGGACGGGUGAGUAAUGCCUAGGAAUCUGCCUGGUAGUGGGGGAUAACGUCCGGAAACGGGCGCUAAUACCGCAUACGUCCUGAGGGAGAAAGUGGGGGAUCUUCGGACCUCACGCUAUCAGAUGAGCCUAGGUCGGAUUAGCUAGUUGGUGGGGUAAAGGCCUACCAAGGCGACGAUCCGUAACUGGUCUGAGAGGAUGAUCAGUCACACUGGCACUGAGACACGGUCCAGACUCCUACGGGAGGAAGCAGUGGGGAAUAUUGGACAAUGGGCGAAAGCCUGAUCCAGCCAUGCCGCGUGUGUGAAGAAGGUCUUCGGAUUGUAAAGCACUUUAAGUUGGGAGGAAGGGCAGUAAGUUAAUACCUUGCUGUUUUGACGUUACCAACAGAAUAAGCACCGGCUAACUUCGUG
rnacentral:rRNA from 1 species